CAUCACUUCACUUCAGUUUCUUUUUUGAAAAUUCCAUUUUAAGCUGAUAGUUUUGAUUAUAUUAAAAAAUGUUGCCGGAAACCGAGCGACGUAUAAGAAAACUGGUUGAUAUAGCCGUAAAAAUUAUGCAAUGGGGGUAUAUGCCCCUGAUUGUGUAUCUUGGGAUAAGAAAGGGCCGGCAAAAUGGGGCACCAAUUUCUUUAUGGGAUUUAUUUUUUUAAAUAUAUCCCAUUCGUUUUAAUUAUAUAAUGAUAUUCCAAAUAAAAAUAUGCAAAUGAAUAUGCCAACAAAAAGAAUUCCUGUUAUCAAUACCACCUUCAUGCCUUUAACUACCUGCGAGGACCUGGAUGUCAUGACUGAACCUUAUAUCACGAAGCCAAAAAUCACUCUAACUUCACCUACCACCUAAUUGCUGUUAGAAAUACUGUAGGGCUCCUAUCUCCUACCUACCUCUUCUUCCACCGCAAGAACAACUGUUAACUUGGCUGUUUACAUAAACGAGAAAAUUGAGUGAAAUAGAUGAAGGAGGACACAUUGGUAGAGAAGCAACUCCGUAUUUCGACCAGCCUAUUUUAAGUGAUGAUGACGGAUGAAGAAGAAAAUAUGUGGUUCUUUGGCAUCUGGCAUCUGAUGUAUCUUUUAACGUCACAGGUUUACGUCACAGGACUCACUCGUGUAAAGAAAAUGAUAACAGAGAAUAAUGCAAUGAAAAAGCCUAAUGAAUAAAGUGUGCAUAUUUGUUUGCUUAUAUGA